rnacentral:rRNA from 1 species
ACGAGUGGCGGACGGGUGAGUAACACGUGGGUAACCUGCCCUUAAGUGGGGGAUAACAUUUGGAAACAGAUGCUAAUACCGCAUAAAUCCAAGAACCGCAUGGUUCUUGGCUGAAAGAUGGCGUAAGCUAUCGCUUUUGGAUGGACCCGCGGCGUAUUAGCUAGUUGGUGAGGUAACGGCUCACCAAGGCAAUGAUACGUAGCCGAACUGAGAGGUUGAUCGGCCACAUUGGGACUGAGACACGGCCCAAACUCCUACGGGAGGCAGCAGUAGGGAAUCUUCCACAAUGGACGCAAGUCUGAUGGAGCAACGCCGCGUGAGUGAAGAAGGCUUUCGGGUCGUAAAACUCUGUUGUUGGAGAAGAAUGGUCGGCAGAGUAACUGUUGUCGGCGUGACGGUAUCCAACCAGAAAGCCACGGCUAACUACGUGCCAGCAGCCGCGGUAAUACGUAGGUGGCAAGCGUUAUCCGGAUUUAUUGGGCGUAAAGCGAGCGCAGGCGGUUUUUUAAGUCUGAUGUGAAAGCCCUCGGCUUAACCGAGGAAGUGCAUCGGAAACUGGGAAACUUGAGUGCAGAAGAGGACAGUGGAACUCCAUGUGUAGCGGUGAAAUGCGUAGAUAUAUGGAAGAACACCAGUGGCGAAGGCGGCUGUCUGGUCUGUAACUGACGCUGAGGCUCGAAAGCAUGGGUAGCGAACAGGAUUAGAUACCCUGGUAGUCCAUGCCGUAAACGAUGAAUGCUAGGUGUUGGAGGGUUUCCGCCCUUCAGUGCCGCAGCUAACGCAUUAAGCAUUCCGCCUGGGGAGUACGACCGCAAGGUUGAAACUCAAAGGAAUUGACGGGGGCCCGCACAAGCGGUGGAGCAUGUGGUUUAAUUCGAAGCAACGCGAAGAACCUUACCAGGUCUUGACAUCUUUUGAUCACCUGAGAGAUCAGGUUUCCCCUUCGGGGGCAAAAUGACAGGUGGUGCAUGGUUGUCGUCAGCUCGUGUCGUGAGAUGUUGGGUUAAGUCCCGCAACGAGCGCAACCCUUAUGACUAGUUGCCAGCAUUUAGUUGGGCACUCUAGUAAGACUGCCGGUGACAAACCGGAGGAAGGUGGGGAUGACGUCAAAUCAUCAUGCCCCUUAUGACCUGGGCUACACACGUGCUACAAUGGAUGGUACAACGAGUUGCGAGACCGCGAGGUCAAGCUAAUCUCUUAAAGCCAUUCUCAGUUCGGACUGUAGGCUGCAACUCGCCUACACGAAGUCGGAAUCGCUAGUAAUCGCGGAUCAGCACGCCGCGGUGAAUACGUUCCCGGGCCUUGUACACACCGCCCGUCACACCAUGAGAGUUUGUAACACCCGAAGCCGGUGGCGUAACCCUUUUAGGGAGCGAGCCGUCUAAGGUG